GUGCCUUGGCCUCCCAACAAGAGAAUUCUUAAAUGUAUAUUUCUCCCAGUGUCACUAAGAAAAUCCAAUUUAAAAUUAUUCUGUUCUGACUUGGCCUUUUAUUCUGCCUCUCAUGAAUGUAAAUAUAAAACUUUUAUAUGAGAGACUCUUGGCAUUGUCUAUAGAUAGACCAUAGCUACAUCAGAAACACACACACACACAUCUGCACAUGUGCAUACACACACAGAGUAGCUAUUUGAGAAACAGCUGUGACCCCUUCAAAGACAGGAGGAGAAAGGGAGGAAUGGGAGAUUAGUGUAAGGACAAAGUCAAACUAUCUAAUCUUUUUAUCCUCUCAGCUAAACAGAUUUUGUCUUCCUUCAGUACCUCACGCUUGACCUCCAUCUCUCAAACCAUUCUAUUAUUUCUACCUUAUCUUUAGCUAUACAUGAAUCUAAUUAUAGAAAAGAUAAUAAUGCAUAAUGAUCAAAUGCAUGGGCUGAACCUCCAAUAUUUGAGAAAAUUGUUGGUGAAAUCUUCACCUACCUUAUUAUCUAUCUCUCUAAUCCAUCUGUCUAAUAAAAUGAAAACCAAAUCAAUAAAAAUGAGCAAAAUAAAGAAAAUAAAGCUGUUAUUACAUGCAUCUCCAGAGAAAGCUAUUACUGCAAGUGACUCUCUUAUUUUAGAAAGUGUAGGAAAGUAUUUUUCUGUGAGUGGGAUUAUAUAAUCUUUACCUACUCUUGGAAGCCAACCUAAGAAACAUGUCAUCCACUCCCCUUCCUCAUCUUUGCAAGUGGUGCUAUAUGCCAGCAGGCUGAGCAUUGUCAUUACUGUAAGAAAGAGUAUGAAUUAAUCCAGCACACAUCCCAAAUUCAGAAUAACAAAUCUGGAAUGUGGAGGCCCACCUGUCUGUGGGUCCAUGUUGAGAAGUCUACACUUUUGAUUACAUGUUUGCCUAUUUGUAAAUGACAAGAUUUGUCCUGCACUAGCAAAAAAAUAAAAUAAAAUAAAAAUUCUGGCCAUCAGGACUAAAGAAUCCAUAAAACUUAGAAUAGUAUAGUUACAAAAUUGGUUCUGAUAAAGGGAAAUAGAAUAAACCUGCUUCAAACUUCAUCAAUCAUUGUUCCCUUUAUCAUUUUCAGAUCAUUAAACCAGCUUUUAAUCACAAACACUAAUAUUUUAUUGUAUAUUUUCUGCUUAAAUCUAGACAGUGUUAGCUUGGCAUUGACUUUCCCAAGUAGCAGAAUUAGUGAUAUUUUGAAUGAUAUAAAGGGUAUUUAUCUAUUCUUUCAUUAGCAAACAUUAUGUAAGUAGUUACUAUGUGUGUAGCAUAGUGCUGUAUUGUAAGGUAACUGUCUUCAACAUCCAGGUAGGAUUAGUUUCUCCACUUGUAGAUAGGUACAUCUAUGCUAUAACAUAUGUAUUAUGUCCUUGGCUGGGUAUGGUGGCUCACGUCUGUAAUCCCAGCACUUCGGGAGGCUGAGGUGGGUGGAUCACGAGGUCAGGAGUUCAAGACCAGCCUGGCCAAGAUGGUGAAACCCCGUCUCUACUAAAAAUACAAAAAUUGGCCGAGUGCGGUGGCGGGCACCUGUAAGUCCAGCUACUCAGGAGGCUGAGCCAGGAGAAUCACUCGAACCUGGGAGGUGGAGGUUGCAGUGAGCUGAGACCGUGUCACUGCAUUCUAGCCUGGGUGACAGAGCAAGACUCCAUCUCAAAAAAAAAAAAAAAAUGUUCUUUUCUGCCUCAAGAUAGGUUGAGAUUGUCCUUCAUGGCCCUGGACAUGGUCCAAAAGGUGGAGAGGCCUCAGUGGUCCUUUCUGAAUGUGAGCACCCAAGCCUGCCCAUUGGCCUAGCCCUUAAUUUAUGUACAUGUGUCAUUUAUGGCCCAUCCUCCAGGGCUGCACCGUGGGGCUCCUGCCUUUUCUGACGUACAGCAACCACAAUAGUGAGAUGAACAUCGAAGCUAUUGGAGAAAGUCCCACCACUAUAGUGUAAAUCAGCCUAGAUUUACUUUGCGUAAUUUUAGGCUAUUUCUUUUUUUUCUUUCUUUUUUUUUUUUUUGAGACGGAGUCUCGCUCUGUUGCCAGGCUGGAGUGCAGUGGCACGAUCUCGACUCACUGCAACCUAAUUUUAGGCUAUUUCUAAGACAGUCAUCUUUUGGUUGAACAAGGUAAUGAGUUGGGAUAAAUAUAUCUUUUUUCAUUCCUGGACUCUCUCUCUUGUAAAACACACACACACACACACACACACACACACACACACACACACACCACAUGCAUCAUGGACACAUAUACUUCUAAUGUUUUUCUUUUAUUUAUCCCAGAAAUUGAACUAGGGAUGCCCCUGUCUCUAUUCUUUCUGCUCUGUACCUGGUACUAAUUAAUUUAUUCAUUAGUAUUAAUAACAAGCCUGGUCACUUUUCAUCCAGUCAUGUUUGUUCCCUCCACAUCAGAAAGAACUCUUGUGACCAACAUCAAAAUUCAAGUUCAGGUAUGUGUACGAGUCAGAAUGGGUCCUUCUUUUUCUCAGAAUUACAUUGUAAGGAACCUAUUCUAAUAGGCAUUAAAGUAACUAGCUUUGGCUUCACUCAGCAGGAAUCUCACAUAAUCAGAAUUGAAUGUGACAAAACUCAAUCCAUUCUGUAUAAACAAGAGACACCUUAGAGAAAUCAAAUCUCUUUGAAGGACUGAAGUAGGAAGGCUAAGAAGAAGGUACACCUGAUACACUCUUUCUUUCACUCUAACAGGCACCGCAUUGUAGGGGAUGAACAGAGACUUUUCAAUCAGAUAGACCUGCAUUCAAAUCCCAGAUCAGUCUCCUACUGCCUUUUGAUCUUAGGAAAGUUGCAUCACUCUUCACCAGAGUUCCAACCCUGAGUUUCAUUCUCUGUCAACUGGAAAUGGAAAUAGCUAUGAUGGUAGCGAGGGUUACAUGAGAUGCUAUUUGCUCAGUGCCAAUGAUCAAUAGCAGAUGGCAGUUAUGUGAUUACGAUUACUGUGGGAUCUUUUCAAAAGAGGGUCGCCAGCAGCUUCUUAGCUAUGUUGAGCUUGAUUGUCUGUGAAGGCAGAGGCCUGGGUGGUAGCUGCAUAAAGAGACAGCUCUACUUCUUGUAUGUCUUGGGUUGUAGGCCAGGUCCCCAGUUCAACUCCUCCUCUACAUGAGGCUACCCCAACUCCACGGGCCAAACGCCAUAGGAAAGCAGAUAUUACAUUUAGAAGUCCUGAUUUCACUUUUAACUAUACUUCAUUGGUAAGACAACAAUAAUGUCAGCUCAUUAGCAAAUCAACAAAUAACACUUUAACUGGAAAUUACUGGACACUAUUACUUAGACUGUCCUGGAAGAGGGCUCUAAAGUGUGUCUCCAUUUAAACUUAUAAGAAAAUUGCCAAGAGCUUAUGUGUUGUCUUGUUUAGAAGUGAAUACAAUGCUGCCAGCCAUAUGUCUUUUAGAUUCUAGCUUGUUUGUUAGAGAUUUCUAGAUAGAGCCAAAUUUGUGGCUUGGCCUUAACAUAAAUAUUCAAAUGAUUCAUAAGGAUUUUUUACUGGGCUUUCACUUUGUCUAGAAACUAAUAUGCAUGUGUUCUAGAAAAAACACUAAGUUUUGAGAUUAAAUCUAUUUUAAAUUAAGUAAGAGAUAAAUGUGAGAAUUAUGUAUGAGACUAUAUGGCAUUCCUUGUUAUAAGCAUAUAACCUAUAAGCUGGUGUCUUUAGAUGUGUAAGAAUAUAAAGCAAACAGAAAAGAAAUACUGCUGAAUUUUAACAUCAUUUUUUGAACUGUCAAGAGCCAAGGAAUAGCUGGGCAAAAAAUCAAUACUGUCUCAUUGCCUCUUUCCCUGACCCCUUUCUAUCUGAAACACUAUCUCCGGUUGUAAAUGUUUAAUUUACUUCUAAUGUGGCAAAAAUCUCAGGUUUGCAGUUUUCUAGAUGAGUAACACAAGCUCAAUAUCAUUUAGUUUAUGAAUAUAAAAAAAUAAAAUGCACGUCAAAGGCAAAUGAAAGCCUUUUAUUGAAUCUGAUAUAAUUUACAUAAUAUGUUCUGAUAGUCCUUGUUAUUCUUUCACAUUUACAUAAUUUUUGUAUAUUUACAAAAGUCUUCAAGCUU
rnacentral:lncRNA from 10 species